ACACGACUACAUUAGAUACCCCGGUAGUCCCAGCCCUAAACGAUACUCGCUAGGUGUCGGCCACGGUGCGACCGUUGUCGGUGCCGUAGGGAAGCCGCGAAGCGAGCCACCUGGGAAGUACGGCCGCAAGGCUGAAACUUAAAGGAAUUGGCGGGGGAGCACCACAACGGGUGGAGCUUGCGGUUUAAUUGGAUUCAACGCCGGAAAUCUUACCGGGACCGACAGCAACAUGAAGGCCAGGCUGAAGACUUUGCCGGAUUAGCUG
rnacentral:rRNA from 1 species